rnacentral:tRNA from 1 species
AAGGACUUAAGUUAAACAAACUGUUAACCUUCAAAGUUGGAAAUAAAGUAUGUAUCUUUAGGCCUUA